UAUGGGGGGGGCUGAGCCGCCGCCGACUGCGGAGGUGUUCCGUGUCCCCGAGCUGGAGCCGACUACGGAGGUGUUCCGUGUCCCCGAGCUGGAGCCGACUACGGAGGUGUUCCGUGUCCCCGAGCUGGAGCCGACUACGGAGGUGUUCCGUGUCCCCGAGCUGGAGCCGACUACGGAGGUGUUCCGUGUCCCCGAGCCGGAGCCGACUACCGCGGAGGUGUUCCGUGUCCCCGAGCCGGAGCCGACUACCGCGGAGGUUUCCCGUGUCCCCGAGCCUGCCAUGCCAGAGACGUUCCGGAGCUGGCCAAAUGACCGUCCGCCGGGCCGCCCACCGGAGGCUCCCCGGCAGUGUGCCUAUCCGCCAGGCCGACCCCCAGAGGUUCCCCGGUCGCCUGGCCGCCCGCCGGGCCGCCCGCCAGAGUUUCCCGGGUGGUCCGACCAACGUCUCUGGUUUCCCUGCCCCCCCACCCCUUGUUUUGCUCUAGUGUGAGCCGCCUGGAAGUCGGUCCUUGAGGGGGGGGUACUGUCACGGUGUGGUUUCACUUCCUGUUGUAUUUUGUAGUUUUCUGCCACUCGUGUCCCCGGGUAACUUCACUUCCUGCCUUGUCCCGUCAUCCCCUGUGAUCGUCUAAUAGUUUCCACCUGUGUCCAAUCACCUGCACCUCCCUUGUGUAUUUAAGCCAUGUGUCUCCUGUGUCACUUGUCGCGUCAUUGUCUUU
ensembl:lncRNA